AUAAGGGCGCACGGUGGAUGCCUUGGCACUAGGAGCCGAUGAAGGACGGGACUAACACCGAUAUGCUUUGGGGAGCUGUACGUAAGCUAUGAUCCAGAGAUUUCCGAAUGGGGGAACCCAACAUCUUUAAUAGGAUGUUACGAUUGUGUGAAUACAUAGCACAUUCGAGGUAGACGCAGAGAACUGAAACAUCUAAGUACCUGCAGGAAGAGAAAGAAAAUUCGAUUCCCUGAGUAGCGGCGAGCGAAACGGGAAAAGCCCAAACCAGCAAGCUUGCUUGUUGGGGUUGUAGGACUCCAAUAUGGUAGUUCUUUCAGAUAGUCGAAUGACUUGGAAAAGUCAGUCAAAGAGGGUAAAAACCCCGUAGACGAAAUGUGGAAGACACCUAGGAGGAUCCUGAGUACGGCGGAACACGAGAAAUUCCGUCGGAAUCCGGGAGGACCAUCUCCCAAGGCUAAAUACUCCCUAGUGACCGAUAGUGAACCAGUACCGUGAGGGAAAGGUGAAAAGCACCCCGGAAGGGGAGUGAAAUAGAACCUGAAACCGUGUGCCUACAACAAGUCAAAGCCCGUUAAUGGGUGAUGGCGUGCCUUUUGUAGAAUGAACCGGCGAGUUACGAUUGCAUGCGAGGUUAAGUUGAAGAGACGGAGCCGCAGCGAAAGCGAGUCUGAAUAGGGCGUUUGAGUAUGUAGUCGUAGACCCGAAACCAUGUGAUCUACCCAUGUCCAGGUUGAAGGUGCGGUAAAACGCACUGGAGGACCGAACCCACGUACGUUGAAAAGUGCGGGGAUGAGGUGUGGGUAGCGGAGAAAUUCCAAACGAACUUGGAGAUAGCUGGUUCUCUCCGAAAUAGCUUUAGGGCUAGCCUCGGAAUUGAGAAUGAUGGAGGUAGAGCACUGUUUGGACUAGGGGCCCAUCUCGGGUUACCGAAUUCAGAUAAACUCCGAAUGCCAUUCAUUCAUAUCCGGGAGUCAGACUGUGAGUGAUAAGAUCCAUAGUCGAAAGGGAAACAGCCCAGACCACCAGCUAAGGUCCCAAAAUAUAUGUUAAGUGGAAAAGGAUGUGGGGUUGCACAGACAACUAGGAUGUUGGCUUAGAAGCAGCCACCAUUUAAAGAGUGCGUAAUAGCUCACUAGUCGAGUGACCCUGCGCCGAAAAUGUACCGGGGCUAAACAUAUUACCGAAGCUGUGGAGUACACCUUUAGGUGUAUUGGUAGGAGAGCGUUCUAAGGGCGUUGAAGGCAGAUCGUGAGGACUGCUGGAGCGCUUAGAAGUGAGAAUGCCGGUAUGAGUAGCGAAAGACAGGUGAGAAUCCUGUCCACCGAAUGACUAAGGUUUCCUGGGGAAGGCUCGUCCGCCCAGGGUUAGUCGGGACCUAAGCCGAGGCCGACAGGCGUAGGCGAUGGAUAACAGGUUGAUAUUCCUGUACCCGUUGUUUUUGUUUGAGCAAUGGAGGGACGCAGGAGGCUAAGGAAUGCAGACGAUCGGAAAUGUCUGUCCAAGCAGUAAGUCUGAAGAGGAGUCAAAUGCUUCUUUUCUUA
rnacentral:rRNA from 1 species